AUGAGCAGAGGGGAAUUCUGGCAGCCAUGUGGAGGAUGGAUUGCAGAGGAGAGAGAGAGAGAAGCCAAAAGUCUCAUUUGGAGAUUAAUACAAGAGUCCAGGAGAAGCGGCCAAGGACGUGGUGGUCUCCCUGAAGGUGGCAGACAGGCAGCCUGGUGCCCGAGUGACAUGGUCUUGGUGCUUCCUAACGGUCCAUAGACUCGGCCACCACCGCUGGCACUGGGGAGAAGGAGGCCGCCAUCACCUUUGAGGAACAUGGGCGUCCAGUUGGGUUUCUGAGUCAGGUAAGGUUCUGGCUGAUCCUUCCCAUGUCUGAGGGGUGAAACGAAGGCACUGCGGGCAAAAGGGCCAGCUGGGCAGGGGGGACGGGGGACGGCGGCCACAGAGAAUUCUGGCCGCCACCCCCCCACCAUCCAAGGGCGACAUCCCGGGCUCCCAGCUUGAAUGGAGAGAGCU
rnacentral:lncRNA from 1 species